AAAAAAAUUGCAAGUAAAGGAAAUUUCUCGUACUGUUUACAUGAGACAUUGCUUAUAUAUGCUUGAAAAUGCACGAAGUAAAUAAUAAAAGAAAAGACGAAAGUUAAGAAAGACGCAGGCUAGUAAAAGAAAUAUAAUAAAUGAGAUCAAGAGGUAGCUUACUAACAGCAAUCCAAAAUAUAAAACAAGUCCUCUCCCCAUCAAUACAAAAGCUGUCCCCAAAAUCUCCCAAAGAAUUCAACCGAAUGUAUGUAUAAGCUCAAAAUCAAAUACAGAUAAUAAACGUCUCAUCACCGAGCGAAGGCUAAAAUGGCAGCCACUACUAUAUAUAAUAUAUAGCCAAAAUGUAACAACAUAAAUUCAAAAAAAAAUAAUAAUAAUAACAAAGCUGAGAGAUCUGAGAAUCUUGUCUAAAGUAGCCACCAGAAAAUUGUCCAUCCAAACAUCAAGCUCCCAACAAUCUUCUGCAUUGAAAUCAGCUUUUCUACUCCACUCUGCAUUUACAUUUUGCAAACAACAGCAGUUG
rnacentral:misc_RNA from 1 species